rnacentral:rRNA from 2 species
CACGCCCUAAACGAUGAUAACUCGCUGUUGGCGAUACACAGUCAGCGGCCAAGCGAAAGCAUUAAGUUAUCCACCUGGGGAGUACGACCGCAAGGUUGAAACUCAAAGGAAUUGACGGGGGCCCGCACAAGCGGAGGAGCAUGUGGUUUAAUUCGAUGAUACGCGAGGAACCUUACCUGGGCUUGAAAGUUAGCGACCGACUCAGAAAAGAGUCUUUCAGAAAUGACGCGAAACUAGGUGC